UUAAGCGACUAAGCGUACACGGUGGAUGCCCUGGCAGUCAGAGGCGAUGAAGGACGUGCUAAUCUGCGAUAAGCGUCGGUAAGGUGAUAUGAACCGUUAUAACCGGCGAUUUCCGAAUGGGGAAACCCAGUGUGUUUCGACACACUAUCAUUAACUGAAUCCAUAGGUUAAUGAGGCGAACCGGGGGAACUGAAACAUCUAAGUACCCCGAGGAAAAGAAAUCAACCGAGAUUCCCCCAGUAGCGGCGAGCGAACGGGGAGCAGCCCAGAGCCUGAAUCAGUAUGUGUGUUAGUGGAAGCGUCUGGAAAGGCGCGCGAUACAGGGUGACAGCCCCGUACACAAAAAUGCACAUGCUGUGAGCUCGAUGAGUAGGGCGGGACACGUGGUAUCCUGUCUGAAUAUGGGGGGACCAUCCUCCAAGGCUAAAUACUCCUGACUGACCGAUAGUGAACCAGUACCGUGAGGGAAAGGCGAAAAGAACCCCGGCGAGGGGAGUGAAAAAGAACCUGAAACCGUGUACGUACAAGCAGUGGGAGCUCGCUUAGGCGUGUGACUGCGUACCUUUUGUAUAAUGGGUCAGCGACUUAUAUUCUGUAGCAAGGUUAACCGAAUAGGGGAGCCGAAGGGAAACCGAGUCUUAACUGGGCGUUAAGUUGCAGGGUAUAGACCCGAAACCCGGUGAUCUAGCCAUGGGCAGGUUGAAGGUUGGGUAACACUAACUGGAGGACCGAACCGACUAAUGUUGAAAAAUUAGCGGAUGACUUGUGGCUGGGGGUGAAAGGCCAAUCAAACCGGGAGAUAGCUGGUUCUCCCCGAAAGCUAUUUAGGUAGCGCCUCGUGAAUUCAUCUCCGGAGGUAGAGCACUGUUUCGGCAAGGGGGUCAUCCCGACUUACCAACCCGAUGCAAACUGCGAAUACCGGAGAAUGUUAUCACGGGAGACACACGGCGGGUGCUAACGUCCGUCGUGAAAGACGGGAAACAACCCAGACCGCCAGCUAAGGUCCCAAAGUCAUGGUUAAGUGGGAAACGAUGUGGGAAGGCCCAGACAGCCAGGAUGUUGGCUUAGAAGCAGCCAUCAUUUAAAGAAAGCGUAAUAGCUCACUGGUCGAGUCGGCCUGCGCGGAAGAUGUAACGGGGGCUAAACCAUGCACCGAAGCUGCGGCAGCGACGCUUAUGCGUUGUUGGGUAGGGGAGCGUUCUGUAAGCCUGCGAAGGUGUGCUGUGAGGCAUGCUGGAGGUAUCAGAAGUGCGAAUGCUGACAUAAGUAACGAUAAAGCGGGUGAAAAGCCCGCUCGCCGGAAGACCAAGGGUUCCUGUCCAACGUUAAUCGGGGCAGGGUGAGUCGACCCCUAAGGCGAGGCCGAAAGGCGUAGUCGAUGGGAAACAGGUUAAUAUUCCUGUACUUGGUGUUACUGCGAAGGGGGGACGGAGAAGGCUAUGUUGGCCGGGCGACGGUUGUCCCGGUUUAAGCGUGUAGGCUGGUUUUCCAGGCAAAUCCGGAAAAUCAAGGCUGAGGCGUGAUGACGAGGCACUACGGUGCUGAAGCAACAAAUGCCCUGCUUCCAGGAAAAGCCUCUAAGCAUCAGGUAACAUCAAAUCGUACCCCAAACCGACACAGGUGGUCAGGUAGAGAAUACCAAGGCGCUUGAGAGAACUCGGGUGAAGGAACUAGGCAAAAUGGUGCCGUAACUUCGGGAGAAGGCACGCUGAUAUGUAGGUGAAGUCCCUCGCGGAUGGAGCUGAAAUCAGUCGAAGAUACCAGCUGGCUGCAACUGUUUAUUAAAAACACAGCACUGUGCAAACACGAAAGUGGACGUAUACGGUGUGACGCCUGCCCGGUGCCGGAAGGUUAAUUGAUGGGGUUAGCGCAAGCGAAGCUCUUGAUCGAAGCCCCGGUAAACGGCGGCCGUAACUAUAACGGUCCUAAGGUAGCGAAAUUCCUUGUCGGGUAAGUUCCGACCUGCACGAAUGGCGUAAUGAUGGCCAGGCUGUCUCCACCCGAGACUCAGUGAAAUUGAACUCGCUGUGAAGAUGCAGUGUACCCGCGGCAAGACGGAAAGACCCCGUGAACCUUUACUAUAGCUUGACACUGAACAUUGAGCCUUGAUGUGUAGGAUAGGUGGGAGGCUUUGAAGUGUGGACGCCAGUCUGCAUGGAGCCGACCUUGAAAUACCACCCUUUAAUGUUUGAUGUUCUAACGUUGACCCGUAAUCCGGGUUGCGGACAGUGUCUGGUGGGUAGUUUGACUGGGGCGGUCUCCUCCUAAAGAGUAACGGAGGAGCACGAAGGUUGGCUAAUCCUGGUCGGACAUCAGGAGGUUAGUGCAAUGGCAUAAGCCAGCUUGACUGCGAGCGUGACGGCGCGAGCAGGUGCGAAAGCAGGUCAUAGUGAUCCGGUGGUUCUGAAUGGAAGGGCCAUCGCUCAACGGAUAAAAGGUACUCCGGGGAUAACAGGCUGAUACCGCCCAAGAGUUCAUAUCGACGGCGGUGUUUGGCACCUCGAUGUCGGCUCAUCACAUCCUGGGGCUGAAGUAGGUCCCAAGGGUAUGGCUGUUCGCCAUUUAAAGUGGUACGCGAGCUGGGUUUAGAACGUCGUGAGACAGUUCGGUCCCUAUCUGCCGUGGGCGCUGGAGAACUGAGGGGGGCUGCUCCUAGUACGAGAGGACCGGAGUGGACGCAUCACUGGUGUUCGGGUUGUCAUGCCAAUGGCACUGCCCGGUAGCUAAAUGCGGAAGAGAUAAGUGCUGAAAGCAUCUAAGCACGAAACUUGCCCCGAGAUGAGUUCUCCCUGACUCCUUGAGAGUCCUGAAGGAACGUUGAAGACGACGACGUUGAUAGGCCGGGUGUGUAAGCGCAGCGAUGCGUUGAGCUAACCGGUACUAAUGAACCGUGAGGCUUAACCUU
rnacentral:rRNA from 1 species